rnacentral:rRNA from 1 species
CUGCACGCGUGCUACACUGAUGCAUACAACAAGUGCCUAGUCCGCUAGGAUAUGGCAAUCUACAAUAUGCAUCGUGAUGGGGAUAGAUCUUUGCAAUUAUAGAUCUUGAACGAGGAAUUCCUAGUAAAUGCAAGUCAUCAUCUUGCGUUGAUUAUGU